UUGACCUCAGAUCAGGUAG
rnacentral:rRNA from 1 species